rfam:Syntrophobotulus glycolicus DSM 8271, complete genome.
AAACAAGAUUUACCGUGAGAAGUCAGCAGAGGCCAUAGUACCAUGCCAGUCGACGGGCAUGGGAAGGGC